rnacentral:misc_RNA from 1 species
GGAAGGAUCAUUAAAGAGUAAGGGUGCUCAGCGCCCGACCUCCAACCCUUUGUUGUUAAAACUACCUUGUUGCUUUGGCGGGACCGCUCGGUCUCGAGCCGCUGGGGAUUCGUCCCAGGCGAGCGCCCGCCAGAGUUAAACCAAACUCUUGUUAUUAAACCGGUCGUCUGAGUUAAAAUUUUGAAUAAAUCAAAACUUUCAACAACGGAUCUCUUGGUUCUCGCAUCGAUGAAGAACGCAGCGAAAUGCGAUAAGUAAUGUGAAUUGCAGAAUUCAGUGAAUCAUCGAAUCUUUGAACGCACAUUGCGCCCCUUGGUAUUCCGAGGGGCAUGCCUGUUCGAGCGUCAUUACACCACUCAAGCUAUGCUUGGUAUUGGGUGCCGUCCUUAGUUGGGCGCGCCUUAAAGACCUCGGCGAGGCCUCACCGGCUUUAGGCGUAGUAGAAUUUAUUCGAACGUCUGUCAAAGGAGAGGACUUCUGCCGACUGAAACCUUUUAUUUUUCUAGGUUGACCUCGGAUCAGGUAGGGAUA